AUCAACAUAAAAUGCAAUACAAUAAAAUAAAAUCAACAUAAAAAUGAGCUCAGCAAAGCGUCCUAAGACACAAAAGAAGGACCCACAUAACACAACAUCCUAUACAUUAACUGUAAUAAUGAAAGUGUUGGUGUAUUUAUUGCACCCCUGCUCUGCUGGGCUAAGAUUUACUAUUGGAGUUCAGCGGCUUGACGGAAGUUGGAAUAAAGGAUAACUUUAG